CCUGAGUUUCCUAAAACUACGGACAUAACUGAACGCUCUGCAUAUAUUUUGUAUAUACUUAUUUACAUGUUGCCUAUGGUCCACUAGAAUGGAAGCAACCUGACGGCAGAGAACGUGUUUUUGCCUUUCCUUGUAUGCCCAGUGAUCGCCGCGGUGUCCGCACACAGUAGGCGCUUAUUAAGUGCUUGCUUACUGGUUGCUCCGAGAGGGCUUCGGGGGCUCACCCCUGGCCAUACCCACUACUCGGCUAGCGAGGACGCCCGGCCACAUGUCCGGCAGGGCCCACAGUUUGGCUUUCCAGCAGCGCAGCGCUAAACACAAGGCCCCACCCGACCCCGGUGGGAGGGGGGACCCGAGCAGGGCCCCGUGGGCAGCGGCCAACAGCCGGUGGCCAGAACAGGUAGUGGGGGCCGCAGAUUAAAGCACGGGAAGGCGGCCAGAACGCACCGCAGUCGCAGCUCGCCCCGGGCGCCCUCGCGUCCCCGCGGGCGCCGCUGUCCGUCUCCCGAGGGAAGGGUCCGCGGACAGACGGGCCCGCGAAAGGGGGCGCCUCCUCCCCUCCCCCGCACACUCCGACACUGACCGUCGCCCGCCCACGAUCUCUAUGAAGCCCCCAAGCGCGCCCGCCGGGCCCUGACGUCAGGCUACCGCACAAGAAGCGGGCACGCAUCGCGCGCGGAGCAGAGCCCCGCCUCUCCCCAUCCCCGGUCCCACCUCCGCCCCUCCUUUUGUCUCCACGCCCCGCGGGGCCAGAGAGAGCUCGGAGCGCAUGCGCCCUGAGAGCAGAACCAGGUGAGGGGGAUGGGGCUGGGAAUGCUGCGUGGUGGCACGCUGGCCCACGUUCUUUCGCGCCGGGGCCCGAGUGCGGUCAGGGAGGAAGGAAGGUAGCGCACACCUUUGCUCCAAUGGCUGCAGCCCUUCCGCGCGCACUCCCCCAGGGUAGGAUGGACGACUACCCCGAGGACCGUUCACUGAACUGGCUGGACAGAGAAACCCAGAAGCGCCUUAGCAGACAGGGCCGGGAGGUGCUGCAGCGGGCGCAGAGGAGAGCUGUCAACCGGUCCUCACUGGGGGAAGAUCUUCGGGGAGAAGGGAAACCGAUAAACCUCAAUACUUCAUUCAAUACAAUGAUGGAAUACAUGGAUUACGUUUCAAGCCAGUGUGGGAGGUUUCAUUCUGUACCAGAAAAGGCAGCGCUGAAUCAUGUCUACAGAUAUCACCAAAACCACUCGGACCCAAUGUCCUCUUCCUGGGUGAGACGGAAAAAAUCCACAUCCCAAGACCCUAGAGAGAGCUACCAAGUAACAAAGAUUGGCCCAGGACCAUCCAUGUUUGAUCCAGGAUCAUCCAGGUUUGACCCAGGACCAUCCAAGUUUAACACAGGACCAUCCAGGUUUAACUUGGGGUCAUCCAAGUUUGACCCAGGACCAUCCAGGUUUGACCCAGGACCAUCCAGGUUUGACCCAGGACCAUCCAAAUUUGACCCAGGACCAUCCAGGUUUUACGCAGGACCAUCCAGGUUUGACUUGGGGUCAUCCAAGUUUGACCCAGGACCAUCCAGGUUUGACCCAGGACCAUCCAGUGUUGGCCCAGGACCAUCCAGGUUUGACCCGGGACCAUCCAGGUUUGACCCGGGACCAUCCAGGUUUGACCCGGGACCAUCCAGGUUUGACCCGGGACCAUCCAGGUUUGACUCGGGAUCAUCCAGGUUUGACACAGGGUCAUCCAGUCUUGGCCCAGGACCAUCCAGGUUUGACCCAGGACCAUCCAGGUUUGACCCAGGACCAUCCAGUCUUGGCCCAGGACCAUCCAGGUUUGGCCCAGGACCAUCCAGUCUUGGCCCAGGACCAUCCAGGUUUGGCCCAGGACCAUCCAGUCUUGGCCCAGGACCAUCCAGGUUUGGCCCAGGACCAUCCAGUCUUGGCCCAGGACCAUCCAGGUUUGGCCCAGGACCAUCCAGGUUUGACUCGGGGUCAUCCCAGUUUGACCUAGGACCAUCCAGUCUUGGCCCGGGACCAUCCAAGUUUGACCCAGGACCAUCCAAGUUUGACACAGGGUCAUGGAGUCUUGGCCCAAGAUCAUCCGAGUCUAUGGCCAGAACAAGUUCAAAGGACAUCACGAUAGAAGUUUGUCCAGGCACCUAUACUGUCACAGUAGGGUCCCCUAAUGUAACCACAACGCACAUGAUAGAGGUUGACUCAGGAGAAAUCAUCGAUCUGAGUUUCCCUCUUUAA
ensembl:lncRNA